GUUCAGAUUGCAGGCUGCAACCCGCCUGCAUGAAGUCGGAAUUGCUAGUAAUCGCGGAUCAGCAUGCCGCGGUGAAUACGUUCCCGGGCCUUGUACACACCGCCCGUCACACCAUGGGAGCCGGUAAUACCCGAAGUCAGUAGUCCAACCUCGUGAGGACGCUGCCGAAGGUAGGAUUGGCGACUGGGGUGAAGUCGUAACAAGGUAUC
rnacentral:rRNA from 1 species